CAGUAGCCGCGGGAAUACGUAGGGUGCAAGCGUUGUCCGGAAUCAUUGGGCGUAAAGCGCGCGUAGGUGGCCAUUUAAGUCCGCUGUGAAAGUCAAAGGCUCAACCUUUGAAAGCCGGUGGAUACUGGAUGGCUAGAGUACGGAAGAGGCGAGGGGAAUUCCUGGUCUAGCGGUGGAAUGCGCAGAUAUCAGGAGGAACACCAAUAGCGAAGGCAGCUCGCUGGGACGUUACUGACACUGAGGCGCGAAAGCGUGGGGAGCGAACAGGAUUAGAUACCCCAGUAGUCCCUGUCUCUUAUAC
rnacentral:rRNA from 1 species